rnacentral:rRNA from 1 species
ACCCGCACAAGCGGUGGAGCAUGUGUUUUAAAUCGAAGCAACGCGAAGAACCUUACCAAAUCUUGACAUCCUCUGACCACCCUGGAGACAGGGUUUCCCUUCGGGGCAGAGUGACAGGUGGUGCAUGGUUGUCGUCAGCUCGUGUCGUGAGAUGUUGGGUUAAGUCCCGCAACGAGCGCAACCCUUAUCAUUAGUUGCCAGCAUUCAGUUGGGCACUCUAGUGAGACUGCCGGUGACAAACCGGAGGAAGGUGGGGAUGACGUCAAAUCAUCAUGCCCCUUAUGAUUUGGGCUACACACGUGCUACAAUGGACAGGUUACAAAGGGCAGCUACGCCGCGAGGCCAAGCGAAUCCCAUAAAACUGUUCUCAGUUCGGAUUGGAGUCUGCAACUCGACUCCAUGAAGCUGGAAUCCCCUAGUAAUCGUGGCUCAGAAUGCCACGGUGAAUACGUUCCCGGGUCUUGUACACACGCUGCCCCACGAAAGUCGGUAACACCUGAAGCCGGUGGGCCAACCCUUUUGGGGGGCAGCCGUCGAAACGUGAACCGGAAAAAGUG